rnacentral:rRNA from 1 species
AUUGAACGCCGGCGGCAUGCUUUACACAUGCAAGUCGAACGGUAACAGGCCGCAAGGUGCUGACGAGUGGCGAACGGGUGAGUAAUGCAUCGGAACGUGCCCAGUCGUGGGGGAUAACGCAGCGAAGGCUGUGCUAAUACCGCAUACGAUCUAUGGAUGAAAGCGGGGGACCGUAAGGCCUCGCGCGAUUGGAGCGGCCGAAGUCAGAUUAGGUAGUUGGUGGGGUAAAGGCCUACCAAGCCGACGAUCUGUAGCUGGUCUGAGAAGACGAACAGCCAAACGGGGACUGAGACACGGCCCAGACUACAACGGGAGGCAGCAGUGGGGAAUUUUGGACAAUGGGCGCAAGCCUGAUUCAGCAAUGCCGCGUGCAGGAAGAAGGCCUUCGGGUUGUAAACUGCUUUUGUACGGAACGAAACGGUCUGGGUUAAUACCCUGGGCUAAUGACGGUACCGUAAGAAUAAGCACCGGCUAACUACGUGCCAGCCGCCGCGGUAAAAC